GACGUAGGGGGCCAGCGUUGUUCGGAAUUACUGGGUGUAAAGGGUUCGUAGGCGGUGUGGCAAGUCGGGAGUGAAAUCUCUGGGCUCAACCCAGAGACUGCUUCCGAAACUGCUGUGCUUGAGUGUGAGAGAGGCUCGUGGAAUUGCAGGUGUAGCGGUGAAAUGCGUAGAUAUCGGGAGGAACACCUGUGGCGAAGGCGGCCCCCUGGUUGGAUACUGACGCUGAGACGCGAAAGCGUGGGGAGCAAACAGG
rnacentral:rRNA from 1 species